AAGACCAGUUCAGCACCCUAUAGGGGCACUACAACGAUUGAAAUGUAAACCAGGAGCGAGAUUCCUGUUCGCUGGCGUCGCAUCUGAUGUUGAUUCCAGUUGAAAUGGUACUCCAUGGGAAGCCUCUUAUGAUGUCUUCUCUGAGAAGAGGAAGGUUGUGUGCAUAUGUUCAGUUAAAUCUGGGCUCUCAGAUGGCAUCUCCUCAGAGCGUAUUUCCAUUAUUACUUAUGUGGAACCAAAUCUUGCAGUCAUGAUAGCAGUGGGAAAAAAGUCAAGUUUAAUUUCGUCGUGAGGCUAGAUGCGGCUGUCUGUUUCUAUUUUUCUUUCUUCUGCCUGACUUUGCAUUUUUUGCCUGAGUAGAAUCUAAGUAAACUUCAUUGCCUACUAAGCGCUGUGCAGAACGAGG
rnacentral:lncRNA from 1 species